rnacentral:rRNA from 1 species
GAAGGGGGAUGCAAGCGUUAUCCGGAAUCACUGGGCGUAAAGCGUCUGUAGGUGGUGAUGCAAGUCACUGGUGCAAAACUCUGGCUCAACCGGAGGAAAGCCAGUGAAACUGCAUGACUAGAGUGUGGGAGAGGUAGAAGGAAUUCCCUGAGUAGCGGUGAAAUGCGUAGAUACAGGGAAGAACACCGGAGGCGAAAGCGUUCUACUGGAACACAUCUGACACUGAGAGACGAAAGCUAGGGCAGCGAAUGGG